rnacentral:rRNA from 1 species
AUUGAACGCUGGCGGCAGGCCUAACACAUGCAAGUCGAACGAGUGGCGGACGGGUGAGUAAUGUCUGGGAAACUGCCCGAUGGAGGGGGGUAACUACUGGAAACGGUAGCUAAUACCGCAUACCAUCGGAUGUGCCCAGAUGGGAUUAGCUAGUAGGUGGGGUAACGGCUCACCUAGGCGACGAUCCCUAGCUGGUCUGAGAGGAUGACCAGCCACACGGGAACUGAGACACGGUCCAGACUCCUACGGGAGGCAGCAGUGGGGAAUAUUGCUCAAUGGGCGCAAGCCGGAUGCAGCCAUGCCGCGUGUAUGAAGAAGGCCUUCGGGUUGUAAAGUACUUUCAGCGAGGAGGCGUUAAUCGCAGAAGAAGAACCGGCUAACUCCGUGCCAGCAGCCGCGGUAAUUC